rnacentral:tRNA from 3 species
ACCGUAGUCUAAUGGAUAGAACACCGGACUCCGACUCCGGCAAUGCGGGUUCGAUUCCCGCCGGGUGC